rnacentral:tRNA from 1 species
ACGAGCAUAGCUUAACUGAAUAGAGCUUCGUCAUACGAAGGCGAAAGGUCGGGGUUUGAAUCCCUGUGCUUGCA